GGGGUGCUCGAGUGGCGAACGGGUGAGUAACACGUGAGUAACCUGCCCUUGACUUUGGGAUAACUUCAGGAAACUGGGGCUAAUACCGGAUAGGAGCUCCUGCUGCAUGGUGGGGGUUGGAAAGUUUCGGCGGUUGGGGAUGGACUCGCGGCUUAUCAGCUUGUUGGUGGGGUAGUGGCUUACCAAGGCUUUGACGGGUAGCCGGCCUGAGAGGGUGACCGACCACAUUGGGACUGAGAUACGGCCCAG
rnacentral:rRNA from 1 species